AAAUUGAAUCAAUUACAGUUGAAUCUACUAUAUUUAUAGUUGAUUGCGUAAGGACAAUCAGCAGUUUGUUGUUGAACCUAUUAUAUUUAUAGUUGAAUGCGAAAAAAUCAACUACACCUUGAUGAUUGGUAUAAUUCUAGAGUUUGUUUUGAUUAGGUCGUAUGAGCCACUUGACGUGUUUCGAGAAAAUCGCUGUUGAAGUUUUGUGACACGUUUUUAAUUCUUAUAUUUAAAAUAUCGUUCCAAAUUGUCUGAAAAUUUCGUAUGCGAUGCACAGAGGAAUAAGAAAUACUCUUGUGCAUUAAAUAUAGGCAAUGAUUAAGUUGUUCAAGUGAACAUGUACAUACAACCUUUUACAUUGCCUAUGUGGUGGAAACGUCGUUUUGCAAGUUGAUAAUUUUUUUACUUGAAACAUGGUUUUAUUUGUCUUUAACUUCGUUGAUUCCGACUAACUGGCUUCUAGUACUAAAGAACUGCGAUUAAUACCCGAAUAGCCAAGACCAUGGUAUUAAUAUAAGAAAACAAUGAUUUUCAAUUGAACAAUAAACUUCAUCGUAAUAUCUAAAUAUUUAUCAACCGAUUUAAAUGAUGAAGUAACUGUGGUAUCGAUCAUAGCAAUCAGAAAACGAGAGAGUGAUUGAAUGUCAGUUGGAUUAUAGAACUACUUGGAAAUAGAUGAAUUAUCGGUACUAUCCAGCACAAUUCAAGUAUUCUAGUUAAGUAGUUCUUAAGGUUACAAUAUUGGCGACGAGAAUGAAAACUAAAAAAGAUCGAUCUCCGUAAUCGAUUUGGAUGGACGUUCAUAGGAUCGAUCCACCGUAAAAUUUGAAGCCUGAAAUCGCUCUUUGAUAGAUCGAUCUUCUAGGAAGAUCGGUUCUUACAAAAAAGAACGAUGUGGACAUUGAACUGCAAAAUGAAUAGAAACACUUGUUAGAAGGCAAGGCGAUGGUAGACUUUGUGGGUAAGUAAAGUUUAACAGAACUUAUGUUGUGUAGUUCUGGACAUAACCACGGUUUCGAUAUGAUGGGUCCGCCAGUGAAAAACAUGUGUAAGGCGGAUUCACUAUAUGGAAAGAGUAACAUUCAGGCGAGUUUGCCAUUUUUAAAAAAAGAACAUUUGGCGCUUUCGCCAUGGAAACAGAAAUGCGCGAGAAAAAAAUGGAAGAGAUUAGGCGGGUUCGCCAUUAAAAUAAAGAUAAGGCGGUUUCGCCAAUUUAAAAAAAAAAUGAUUAGGCGGAUUCGCCAUUGGAUGAAAACUGAUAAGGAGGUUCGUCAUUAAAAAAAAAGAGAGAAGGCGGGUUCGCCAUUAAAAAAAGAGAAGGCGGGUUCGCCAUUAAAAAAAGAGAAGGCGGGUUCGCCAUUAUAAACACGGAAAAAUUGAGUUAUUCAUGAAAUGUGUUACGAUUACACCUUCAAAAUAACUAAGCGGUUGUUGUUCAAAAAUUGUUUAAUCCCUAUUCAAUUUUGGGUAGUUUUGAAUGACCAAUAUACAAAAGUGAACUAAAAUUCGAUUAGUCAUGCUCUGUAUAAAAAGUUUGCUGUUGUUGGAAAGCUUUGGAAGGGGAUGCCAAAGCAAAAAAGCAAAUUCGGAAGCCAUGUUGAUUGCUGGUUGGAAGAUUGCUGAUAUAAAAAAAGAGUUUUAUUUGCAGUUUGAAGUUGAAAUUUGUCAACAAAAGUAGUUUAUUUAAACGGAAUGAAUGGUUCGUUUACUAAAAGUACUAUUUUCACUUUUCCGGUACGUUUAAACGUCGGAAACUACUAAAGCAAACCGGAUAAUUGUGAUAUGUGUUUGUAAAUUUGUGAAAAGACAAUAAUUGUUAUUUUGCUUGAGCAAUUAUCGCAUUAAAUGGUAAAUUUUGUUUCUUUCAGAUAUUUCGGCGUAAUGCAAUGUCAUACCACCUCCAAGCAAGGCAGCAAAAGUUAAGGUGGAGAUCGAAAAACCUAAAAAAAAGCGUAAACAUACAACCGAAUCAGCUAAUGGUACAGCAGCUCAAAAGCAAUGGAGACCUCCUAUCGGAUGAAGACAUGGACAAAUCUAUUCACGAUAUAAUAAAGGGGAUUAAAAAACGACCGGCGAGGACUAGUAUGACCUGCUUUUGUAUUCCUUCAAAAAGCAAUCGAAUUAUGACUAAAUUUUAUGGACCGGUUUGUGCAAGUUUUUUUUAGCGAAGGUGUUAUAAUUUUGGUUGUUUGAUUUGGUUGCCAAGCAUCAUUCAGCUAAGCCAAGCUAGAUAAUAAUUAAUAGUUGCAGUUCGGAAAUCUAAAGACAACGCACAUGACAACAAAAAGAAAUGUUUUAACAUUUUCAAAAUACCAGUGAAAAGGGAACAACCGAAAGAUUUCACCGGAAUAGGAUGGAUUUUAAUUGGUAGAGGACCGACUGGGGAAACCCUCCUACUUGGCAUUCCAAGCGUAUAAAAGACAAAAUUCACCUUUACUGCGGGACAUGUCCGGAUUUUGCUGUCGUAAUCGCCCUGGUACAUCCUCCGUAAUCUACAAAAUGCCUUCCCAGAGCCACCUAAAGCAAAAGCAUUGUUUCGAGAUUUUCGGGACGUCACUGGAAAGCUUUUGCUGCAAAAUACUGUACAAUAUACCGGAGGAUAGAUUAAGAUAAUAUAGGGCCAUGAAAUGUAACAAAAACGAGGAAGGAAGGAAAAUUUCCAUGCAGUAACAUUUGGCUGCAUUGCUAAAUCGCACAGAAGCCGAUUUCCUGUUAAAUGUUAUUUAUCUAUAUUAACAUGUGCCUGUAAACAAUAAAAAAAACUUAUAGCUUUUACGUA